AAUAGUGUUCAUAAUAAACAGUAGUUUAAAAAAAAAUCACAUUUUUGUUUCAUCUUUUUAAACGCUCUAGCGCCUAAAUUGGUCGACGUAGGUGGACCCAAUACAUUGCACCAGUUAGAUAGUUUAAUGAGCUUUCAGAAAAGCCCUCAACCUCUUCUCUAUCACCACCAGGGGCGUGGCAAUAGUGUUCAUAAUAAACAGUAGUUUAAAAAAAAAUCACAUUUUUGUUUCAUCUUUUUAAACGCUCUAGCGCCUAAAUUCGUCGACGUAGGUGAACCCAAUACAUUGCACCAGUUAGAUAGUUUAAUGAGCUUUCAGAAAAGCCCUCAACCUCUUCUCUAUCACCACCAGGGGCGUGGCAAUAGUGUUCAUAAUAAACAGUAAAUUAAAAAAAAAUCACAUUUUUGUUUCAUCUUUUUAAACGCUCUAGCGCCUAAAUUCGUCGACGUAGGUGGACCCAAUACAUUGCACCAGUUAGAUAGUUUAAUGAGCUUUCAAAAAAGCCCUCAACCUCUUCUCUAUCACCACCAGGGGCGUGGCAAUAGUGUUCAUAAUAAACAGUAGUUUAAAAAAAAAUCACAGUUUUGUUUAAAUUUUUUAAACGCUCUAGCGGCUAAAUUGGCGGACAUAGGUGGACCCAAUACAAUGCACCAGUUAGAUAGUUUAAUGAGCUUUCAGAAAAGCCCUCAACCUCUUCUCUAUCACCACCAGGGGCGUGGCAAUAGUGUUCAUAAUAAACAGUAAAUUAAAAAAAAAUCACAUUUUUGUUUCAUCUUUUUAAACGCUCUAGCGCCUAAAUUCGUCGACGUAGGUGAA